AAUAUUGGACAAUGGGCGCAAGCCUGAUCCAGCCAUGCCGCGUGAGUGAGGAAGGCCCCAGGUUUGUAAAGCUCUUUCACCGGUGAAGUUAAUAACGGUAACCGGAGAAGAAGCUCCGGUUAACUUCGUGCCAGCAGCCGUGGUAAUACGAAGGGGGCUAGCGUUGUUCGGAUUUACUGGGCGUAAAGCGCCCGUAGGCGGACUUUUAAGUCAGGGGUAAAAUCCCGGGGCUCAACCCCGGAACUGCCUUUGAUACUGGAAGUCGUGAGUAUGGUAGAGGUGAGUGGAAUUCCGAGUGUAGAGGUGAAAUUCGUAGAUAUUCGGAGGAACACCAGUGGCGAAGGCGACUCACUGGACCAUUACUGACGCUGAGGUGCGAAAGCGUGGGGAGCAAAC
rnacentral:rRNA from 1 species